GUCGGAUCUCAGCGGUCUGCGUUUUUGCAGGUCAGCGCGACCAUGGGCGUUCCGAGUACCUUGGCCUUGAAAACCGGCAGGGCGGGUGACCGUCCUCGUGGGUUCGAAUCCCACCCUCCGCCG
rnacentral:tRNA from 1 species